UGUAUUCCCGUUCCAGAUUUGUACAUGGUUCCCGAUCCAGAUCCCAUGUUCAUUCAAAAUACAAAGGCAUUUUGUCAAAGGGAUUUUGUGGUGACGAUAUUAGAAUAAUGUAAUUGAAGAAUUUUUUAAUUUUGUGGUGACAAUAUGAGCACAAUGAGAUUUUGUGGUGACUAUGAUGAACUUUCAUCAGCCUCAAGCAUGAUCUUGUAUUUGUUGUAAUUUUCCCUUUUUUCCAUUUGAUUUUUCUCCUGAGAAUACUUAGUUAGCCUCUAGUUUGUGUCGUUCUUUCUCGAGUUGGUCGAGCGGUUAUCGUGGUGCUGAUAAUAAUAUUUUAUCCGGUGACAAAAAUGCUUAUUAUGAGCCAGUCUACGGUGAUUGAUGGUUCUCGUGUUACAUUAGUUGCAUGUUAAUUUUUCCGAAAAAGAACGAAAACAAAACUUUGUUGCACGCCACGGAGCGGGUGUCAAAUAUUUCCGUGGGGACCGGUGAAGUACAGUUGACUGCCAUACGUGAAAGAAAGCAAUCACUGGACACAAUAAAGAUGCGAUGAGGUAACGGCGACAUAUGGACGGACGUUUAUAAGCACGAAUCACUGAGCAAUGAUCUGAUGGUGAGCACACCGUGCGUAGCUAGCACCCCGGGUAGAAAAUCCGCGUCGAUAUAUAUAUAUAGAAACUCUAUUAGACCUCCUGGGUGCAGAAUAGUAAUUCUGCUCCCGGGCCGGUCGACCGAGCCGGACAGGCGCCUGGUUCAGCCCAAACCUUGUCGGUGCCCACCACCAAACGAACAGUCGUAAUUUCAUCUCUUUUUUUAUCCCGACGAUUUUUUUUCCAAUUCGGUCGUAGGUGGAGCUGCCCACUAACCCCGUACCCCAACCCAGACGAUGGCGAGCGGUUGGGAUUGGGCGAGGCAGCGGCGAUGCGGGUGAGCGGCCGGCGGGCGGCGGCGAUGCGUGUGUCUGGCCGGCGGCGAUGCGGGUGACUGGCCGGUGGCGAGCGGCGGAUGCGCUAUGCGUUGUGGGUGUCCUUGGCUCCGUUGUGGUCUGCCGACGAAUCGACGGCGACCGGCUGUAGGUGUGAUUGCGGUCGGCAGCGGGCGGUUGUAGGCAGGGUUGCUGCGAGCGGCUGCAGCUGGGGAUCUUAUCGGCUUGAGGCUUGUGGUGCAUAAGGAGAAGAUCCCCUCGGUGAACCCUCUCCUCCGUCCUCACCUAUUCUCGUUUAUGCUUCAAAAUAUCGGAUUAAUCGCGAGCUUGAUUUGCAGCGGCUGGUUUGGAAUCCCGAAGGCUUCAGCCGAGUGGUGGGUGGUCCCGGUCUCGGUUGCCAUGGAGACUGGCCUCCGCAGCGGGAGGGGUUGCGGUCUGCCAGUAUUCUACACCGGAGAAGAAGAUGCUGUCCCUGUCGGCAUAAACGAGACGGGAAUGUGCUAUUUUGGAAUCUGACAAGAAAUUGACAGACAGAAAAAGAUGUAUGCAAAGGACUUGUAGACGAAGAGCAAGUAUGUAGCGGCAGUGUUGCACAGAUGAGAAAAUAUCAGUUGUUUGUAUUCAUGCUGUACCUAGCCUGGUGUCACCUGAGCACAUAACUUUCUGGCCCAAGCUCCAACCCGCCGUGGUGCUCCUGCCGCUGGGCUCCAACCGUAAUUGCCUCGAACACUGCCGAGAUCCAGCCGCCCGCGACCAGGUCAUGUCGCCGCCGAGCUUAAGCCAACCGCGACGAGGUCGUGUGGCCACCAUCCUCGCCUCGUGCCCCAAGUUCCUGCCGUCGGCCGCUAGCACCAGUCGCCCCGUCCUCGCCGCAGGAGCGCCAGCCUCUCCGGCCGUCCUCGUCGUCUCCAAUUGCUCUGGUUGUACUCCUCUUCUCCGAGCAGGAACAAGGUCCUACUGCAUUUUCAUGCUAUGAUUUGUGGCAGUUCUGUAUCUUACCUUUGGUGUCCAAGUUGUCUGUUUGUUUUUGUCCAAGAGCAUGUAUUACUGUGUUAGGUGGUCAAUAUAAGAUAUCCUUUUUAGUUUUUACCACAAAGGUAUCUAUCCGCAGCUUAUUUUCUUUUACGCUAGAUUUAUACUUGAGAGAAAAAAUUCGAUGUUCAUUUCCUACAUUGUGAUACCAUCAUGAUUUGAAUUUGUUCA